rnacentral:rRNA from 1 species
CAUACCUAUUCGAAGGGAUAGGGUCGGUUUGGCCGGAUUUCACACAGGUGUUGCAUGGCUGUCGUCAGCUCGUGUCGUGAGGUGUUGGGUUAAGUCCCGCAACGAGCGCAACCCUCAUCCUUAGUUACCAUCAGGUUAUGCUGGGGACUUUAAGGAAACUGCCAGUGAUAAACUGGAGGAAGGUGGGGAUGAUGUCAAGUCAUCAUGGCCCUUACGGAGUGGGCUACACACGUGCUACAAUGGUGAUUACAAUGGGCUGCAAGGUCGCAAGGCUGAGCUAAUCCUAAAAAAUCAUCUCAGUUCGGAUUGUUCUCUGCAACUCGAGAGCAUGAAGUUGGAAUCGCUAGUAAUCGUGGAUCAGCAUGCCACGGUGAACACGUUCUCGGGUCUUGUACGCACUGCCCGUCACGCCAUGGGAAUUGGUUUCACUCGAAGCU